AAUCAAUUUGAAAAUUUUAUUUUUAAUAUGCGUAUUUCUUUUAAUGUAUUGACCCUAGAAAUUUUUUUUUAGAUCCACCACUGGUUGAUGUACCAACUAAGUUUACCCCUUCGUACCCUAUAUUUCAUUAAGUGGCAUACCAUGUAUCAAGUAUCCAUAUCACAACUUACUAUUACUGUGUUCAGGGAACUAUGAUCUCGUGCAUCCCAUAAAUAGAAAAACAUUAGAGAAUAUAAACCGUUCAACCACACAGAUGGGAAAAAAAAUUUGAUUAACACAUUUAAAAAAAAAAGGGAUGAAG
rnacentral:misc_RNA from 1 species